rnacentral:sRNA from 1 species
UUCUAGCCCGGAUAGAAGUGGAAAUCCUUUUAUGUUCGCAAUAGCGCACAUAAAAGAUUGCAACGCAUAGCCGGAUUAGCU